rnacentral:rRNA from 1 species
UACGAAGGGGGCUAGCGUUGCUCGGAAUUACUGGGCGUAAAGGGCGCGUAGGCGGAUGGCUAAGUCGGGGGUGAAAGCCCGGGGCUCAACCUCGGAACUGCCUUCGAUACUGGUCAUCUUGAGUACGGGAGAGGUGUGUGGAACUCCGAGUGUAGAGGUGAAAUUCGUAGAUAUUCGGAAGAACACCAGUGGCGAAGGCGACACACUGGCCCGUUACUGACGCUGAGGCGCGAAAGCGUGGGGAGCAAACAGG